rnacentral:lncRNA from 1 species
CCCGGUUAUCGCCAUGGAUGUGAGCCCUUUCUUCAGCUCAACAACAUAUGUGGGCCGCUCUGUUACCUGAAAGCACAAAUUGCCUCCAAUCCUUGCAUUACAUGGAGUGAUCUUGCGCCCGCGCCGGCGACUAUAAGCUUCGCUACAGACGUGAGCUUUUUGAUGGCGAGCACGAUGGGAAAGGUUCGUCGAGCUCCUCUCCAGACCAACAUCCCCCCCUAUAACCGUCCCAGUGAAGCACGCCUUCUCGCCGCAGGAGGCUCGUCGCCCGCCAUCUCCGCCCGGCCGGCCUUGCCGCUAAUCACCGGUGAGGAGCCCCCUUCACUUCGCCGUUUCUAGCCAUCUCGGUCAACCCCAUCC